UUCUCGGCUAAUAACGCCUUCCCCAGACCUUCGUCCAGGUGCGGAACCUUCUGGAAGAGAGCACCCGGGAGGAGCCCCAGAACCUGAGGAUCGCCUUGGAGGACGACGAAGACGUCCGAGAGGCCUUCAAUUUCGCCGACAUCGACCACAGCUACAUUCCCGGCCGGGAGGAAAUUAAGAAGCAAGGGCUGAAGCUGAUUGGGGACAAGACCAAAGUCGUCAAGAAGAAGCCCAGGGGGGGCGCCAAAAAGUCAUUAAUGACUUAAUUCAUUAAUAAAGAAGAUUAUUAUUCUUAUUAUUCGUCGCCGGCCGCAGCGGAAGGUAGAUGGAGGGAGAAGAGGAAUUUGGUCGAGAAGAAGCCCAGGGAGGCGGCCAAAAAGUCCGUCAAUUAAUUCAUUAAUCGAUACGUUAAUAAAUGUUAUUAUUGUUACUAA